rnacentral:rRNA from 1 species
CCUACGGGGGGCAGCAGUGGGGAAUAUUGGACAAUGGGGGCAACCCUGAUCCAGCCAUGCCGCGUGUGUGAAGAAGGCCCUCGGGUUGUAAAGCACUUUCAGCGAGGAAGAACGCCUGGUGGUUAAUACCCAUCAGGAAAGACAUCACUCACAGAAGAAGCACCGGCUAACUCCGUGCCAGCAGCCGCGGUAAUACGGAGGGUGCGAGCGUUAAUCGGAAUUACUGGGCGUAAAGCGCGCGUAGGUGGCUUGAUAAGCCGGUUGUGAAAGCCCCGGGCUCAACCUGGGAACGGCAUCCGGAACGGGCAAGCUAGAGUGCAGGAGAGGAAGGUAGAAUUCCCGGUGUAGCGGUGAAAUGCGUAGAGAUCGGGAGGAAUACCAGUGGCGAAGGCGGCCUUCUGGACUGACACUGACACUGAGGUGCGAAAGCGUGGGUAGCAAACAGGAUUAGAUACCCUAGUAGUC